rnacentral:lncRNA from 1 species
AUCCAUACCAAUAUUACUACAGCAGCUAUGGGAUGCCCUACUAUGCAUAUGAGAUUUAGAUGUUAUUUAGUGAAAAAGAGUGAAAGAAAUUAGUUUUAUAUUGAUGCAUAACUAGCUUCAUUUAACUUUUUUUUUUUGGAGUUUUGCAUUGACUCAAUUCCAACAUCUUACUAUAACAUGUUGGGGAAUUUCGAAAUUGGGUUAUAGGAAAUCUGGAUUACAAACAGGAAUCGUGUGAUACACUUUUCUUGUUUGAUAUUUCGACCCUAAUUGCCUUGGGUAUCACGAAAUCCAAACUAGGAUAAUUCCUGAAGAAACGAUUUUGAUUUCAGGCACAAAAACAGAAUCAAUUUUGAGAGAGAAUGAAAAAGAAAGCGUCCUAUUUGUUUUCUGUGUUUCAACGAAGUUCUCAGUUUCCCGGACUUAUCCACACAACGGAUAAAACGAGAACAGUUUUCAACUUUGAAAAAAUACGAAUUAAUACUUGAAUUUGCAUCUUUAAAGAAUGACAAAUUAGUCCUCGUACUGUUCUAAAAUUUUUUUGGUGAUUAGGGUUCGGUACUAACAAUGUUCAGUAAAUACAAGUGUGCACUCUCACACCUUCUAACUUGUAUUAUAACUAAAACACUAUUCUUGAAAUACUUGUUAAAUCCAUUACACUAAAAUAUAUUUGGUGAUUAAAUCACCAACAUAACAUUCAUCCAACCAAAACAACCACAUAAGAUUUGUUUAAUAAUUAAUAUGUCUUUUCCAUACUUUAGAUACCCACAAAGCAUAUGUUUUUGAGCUACAAAUUGACACUCCCAUGUACGCCCCUACAUUAGCAACACAAAAAUUUUAAAAUUUUACAAUGUAAGUUAAUUAGAUUAUCUAGUGGUAGUUACCGAUAAACACUCUUUUCACUGAUAUAUUAUAAAAAUUAAAAAUCAUUUUUUUUAAUAAAAAUAGAAUAAAAUAAGAUGCAAUAAUAGACUAUUUUGUAAUUGAUCCAUAAAUAUAUAAUGCAACCACUGUGCGGAAUGAAUGGCACAUAUUCAUAUAUGUCCCCUUUAUCGUUAUUAAUUAUUAUUCUCCAAAUGAUGUCCACGUAUCUUCAGUUUCUGUGUAUAAACUUUUCAAGCUCUCGAAGGGAAUAUUUGGCAUACAAAUAUAGCAUGUAAUUUUUCCACCCAACCAUAAAGUAAAAUAUCCUUACAUUCAUUGAUUAAUCAUUAAUUAUUAUAUAAUAGUAACUAAUUAAUUGUAACUAAUAAAUUAAAAUGUUACUGACUUAAAGAGAGAAACCUGAGUUAUCUUUGUCGGCCACCACCUCUCCACUACCUUCUCAACAUUUCUGUUUAUCCAUACCCUAAAAAAUGUUGGUUUUAAAUAAUAUUAGAAAAAAAUUAUAAAGAUUUUAGAUGUUGAAACUUGAAACUUGAAAGUCUUGAAUUGUUGUUUACCUCUGUGAUUGCAUCUGUAAGGGAGGAGCGAGUCAUUCCCUCCCAACCCACUGAAUCCACUGUCACAUCAUUUUUUCUCUUUUAUUUUUCUUCAUUUUUCCGAACCCAUAACUCACAGAAACCCUAUCUUUUUAAACCCACUCAAUUAAAAAAAAAAAAAAAUACAAAACAAUCAAAUGAAAAAUCUUAAUUAUCAAUAGAGUUAUCGGCGGUACCACUCCUGUUUCAACGAAUGGGUUGAUUGGUUUCACUAACCCACUUCAUCAUCUCUCUAUUUUCUCUUUCUUAUUUUCUCUUGUACCAUGUGUUUUAAAACUUAUACGUUAGUUGUUUUGUAUUUUUUUAAUUGAGUGGGUUGAAUGGGUUCAAAAAGAAAGGAUUUCUGUGUGUUGUGGGUUGGAAAAGAUAAAGAAAAAAAAGAGACAAAAAUUAAUGCGACAGUGGGUUCGGUGGGUUGAGAGGGAACGACUCCCUCCUCCCUAAUGAGGACAAAGGCUGGUCGGCUUGGGCCCCAGCCUGGGGCAUCAAAUUUGUAGGGGAAUUAUAUUUGGUUAGUUACUUAUAAAUAUAGCUAUUUUAUUUGGACUUAAUGUAAUCUGGUCGAAGGUUUUAGCCGAUACGGGGCAAGGCACAAGGCAGCAAAGAAGGGCAUGGGUGAAAAUUUGAGCGCGGUAAUAUAGAAAUCAACUGAGCCAAUCACUAGUCAAAACAUAAUACGAGGAGUCGAUGACGAUUUUCAAGCAAAACGCAAAAAGGGUAACUCAAAAAAAUCAAUUUUCACACAACAGCAAAAAAGCGACCAUGAUUUUGAUUGACGACUGAAUAACCAUAUGUCAAUAGUUGUGUUUGCUCGAGAAAUAAGAAUACCAAAAUAUGCACAUGGAAACAACAAACCGCAAUCUAAAUGAAUAUGUGGAAACACAAAUGCAUAAUAACGCUUGUUUUCUCGGUACUUUUUGAAAAUUUUGAUAUCCAACUGUCUCAUUUUAUAUGUUUUUUUCCGCUUUAUGAUUCAGGCAAUUUUCAGUUUUUGUUUAAUGUUUGAUUGUUUUCUGAAUUAUUGAUUCUUGUGAUUUGUGAAUUGUAAUAGAUGGUUUUUUCGUAUUUUUUAUUCUGAAAUUCCUUAUUUUAUAUAUUGAGAAUGCCGAGAUUUCAGAUGGAUUUAUGUUCACUUCUUCAACCUUUUGCAUCUCUGUCUCAUGUUUGUCUCUAAGUAUGGUUGCUCACUGCUCAGCCUCUCAAAUAGAUUUAUGGGCUCACCCGUUACUAAUUGCUAGCUUGCUAUUGGUUUAAAGGUCAACUUGUUUUUGUUUAUUGCUUCAGUAAUGAUUAAUGAUUAAGCCAUUCUAAAUCAAUUGAAUUACUAUUAAAGUCUAUAUUUAAAUCCCACUGAAAUCAAUUGAAAUUUGUUAGUUGACUUGGAAAAAUGAUUACAGUUUACUUCUAUGUUAUUGCUAGUUGAAAUAAUUUCAUCUCCUUUGUUCCGGUGUUUUUGUUUGAAGUUCAUGAGUCCUUGGAUUUGAUUGCGAGACUUCUUUUGGUUUUUUUGCUUAUUUAUUAACCUUUUUUUUGUUCCAUUCAGAGUUAGAUACCAAAGAAACCGGUCAAUGUAAAUAAUUAUUUUUCAAACUUGUAAUUUAUUUAAUCAAACCAUGUUAGCAAAGACACCAAUCAAUGCAAAUUGCCAAAGAAUAAUUUAAAAGUAAAUAAUUAGCAUCGUAUAAUAGAAACCAAUAUGUGCAAAUAACUUGUUUUUAUGUUAUAAUAGGAUUUAUAGGAUUAUGGAGAAUUUUUAUUAGGUUCCUUGCAAAUGUAAUUUUGUGUCAGGGCAGAUAACCGAAUGUGUAAUGUGGGCAUCUGCUUUAUAUGUGGUUGAAAUGGAUUGUUGAACUCGCACAACAUACCAAUGGUUGAUUCCGGUCCAGUGUAGGCAUCAAGAAAAAUGAAGAUCGAGAAGCCGUUGGAAGCCACCGAUCAGAGGUAGAGAAGCUAUGGCGUUGGGAACAAUCUAGAAAGAAAGAGAUAAAAGACUAACCAGAAGCAAAGGUAAAGUAAGUGAGCGGUGGUGGAAGGAUCGGGAAGUAGAAACCCUAACCCCUAUCGGAUUACUAGUACGUUUUGACAAAGAAUAUACAAUACGUCAAAAAAUGACCCCUUACAAAAUCAAGCCGAAAUUGCACCCAUAUCGAUAAACAUGGGACCAUUUCUGUAACUCAUUGAAUAUAAAACCAAAAUUAACAAAAUUAUAGUCUAAAAUACACUCUGAAAAAAACCGCAAGUCAAUCCGACUUUAAACGAAUGAGAUAUGCAUAUGUUAACAUUUUCACAUAAUACAAAUUACAAAAACAAAUAGGUGAAAAGUUGAAAAUUUUCAGUUUUGAUAUCCCGACUUCGGAGAACUAUAAACCAUUGAAUGUUAAACCAAAAAUGACAAAAUUAUAGUCUAAACUCAUGUACAAAUUGUAAACUACAUGUUCGAAAAAACCACAUGUCAAUCCGACUUCAAAUGAAUUAGAUAUGCAUGUUUUAAAACUUUCAUCGAAUACAAAAAAACUGAAAAACAAAAAACUUCAAGCUUUGAUAUCUUAAUUUUAGAGGAUUGUAGGUCAAUGAAUAUAAAACUAAAAAUGACAAUUUUAUAGUCUAAAAUCAUGUACAAACUCUAAACUACAUGUUGGAAAAAACCGCAUGUCAAUCGGAGUUGAAACGAAUGAGAUAUGCAUCUUUUAAACGUUUCACAAAACCGGUUUCGGCCCUAAAAGUGGUUUCGGUUCCAAACACCGGUUCCGGUAUUUAGACCCGAUUUACCCGAACCCGAUUGACUCAAACCCGGAUUAUCCGGAACCCGGAUAAAGUCAAUUUUAAAACCCGGAACCAGAACCGGUUCUAUAUAUUCCGGUUCUAACGGUUCCGGUUUCCGGUUCCGGUCCGGUUUUCCGGUUCUAAAUCUCAUCCCUACUAAGAGGUGGAUAACUUAUNNNNNNNNNNNNNNNNNNNNNNNNNNNNNNNNNNNNNNNNNNNNNNNNNNNNNNNNNNNNNNNNNNNNNNNNNNNNNNNNNNNNNNNNNNNNNNNNNNNNNNNNNNNNNNNNNNNNNNNNNNNNNNNNNNNNNNNNNNNNNNNNNNNNNNNNNNNNNNNNNNNNNNNNNNNNNNNNNNNNNNNNNNNNNNNNNNNNNNNNNNNNNNNNNNNNNNNNNNNNNNNNNNNNNNNNNNNNNNNNNNNNNNNNNNNNNNNNNNNNNNNNNNNNNNNNNNNNNNNNNNNNNNNNNNNNNNNNNNNNNNNNNNNNNNNNNNNNNNNNNNNNNNNNNNNNNNNNNNNNNNNNNNNNNNNNNNNNNNNNNNNNNNNNNNNNNNNNNNNNNNNNNNNNNNNNNNNNNNNNNNNNNNNNNNNNNNNNNNNNNNNNNNNNNNNNNNNNNNNNNNNNNNNNNNNNNNNNNNNNNNNNNNNNNNNGAGCCUCAUAUUUAGGCUCGAGCUCGGCUCGGGCUUGUUUAAUUCGAUCUCGAGUCGAGUUUUUAACGAGUCGAUCCCAAGUAGCUCACGAGUAGCUUGAUUCACUUACACCCCUAAUUCUGUGUUUAAAAUAUCAUUGGUUUGUUUAGAAUACUCCAAUUUCAUCUUAACAUACUAAGCCGUCAUUUAUAUAAUUAUUUUUGUUAAUAAAAAAUAAUAUAAUAUUGAGAUACAUAUAUAUAAGAAAAAGCUGUGUAUCUAACCCUGUGUUACACUUAGUAAUUUGUAAUUGAGGUUUAUUAUAUGUAAAUAAUAAUUGUGGUGUAGAAAAACAAAAAGGGGUAAAUUUGAAACUUUUAUGUAAAUGAAAGGCAUGUAAACAAAAGUUUGAAAAAGAAGAAGUACGUAUGCAUAUGAUCUAGAAAAUGACGUGCCUUUAUUGCCUUUACAGUCCCAGAAGUUGGUGACAGAGAUCCAAAAAGUUAUUCAAUUAUUUGUAAAAUAAAAUAGUGCGAAGCUUCCUUUCCCACGGCGUUGACGACCUUGUCGUCUUCGUCCUCUGUGAACUCCUGGACGAUCUAUAAAUACCCUCUCAGUACUUUGAAUCUUCACACGUCUUCUUUAAAUCCAAUACAGAUACACUCGGCACAGUCAAAUCAGUAUCUACUUUACAGAAAUGGCAAAGGUACACAUUUGUUUACUAAUCCAGUUCAAUUCUGUUUUGUUUUUUCGAAUAAGUUAAACUCAAUUUGUGUAAUUGAUUGGUUUUGCAGCAAAAGAUUGUGGUGAAGGUCACAAUGAACAACGAAAAGAAAAUCCGUAAGGCUCUGAAAAUCGCUGUUAGUCUCUCCGGUAAGAUCAUGUUUCGAGAUUUCCCUCUUCUCAAUUUUCACUUAAUUCUGGUUUUCCAGAAAAAUCGUUUAAUUUCAAUUUCAUAACGUAAAUGUUAACCUCAAUUUGAAUUGUGGGUUUUAUACCUGAUUAUUGUUAACCUCAAUUGGAAUUGAUUGAAUUACUCGACUAAAUCAUGAUCUGAAAAUUGAUGAACAGGUGUUGAAUCAGCAUCUUUCGUUGGAUCAGAUAAAACCCAAAUCGCUGUGACUGGGGAACAUGUCGACUCAGUUGAACUGGCGAACUUGCUAAGGAAAGGUGUUGGAUACACAGAGCUAGUGAGUGUUGGUCCGGUGGAGGAGAAGAAACCAGCCGCCGCAAAAGAAACAAAUCCCACGGUAGCGCCACUAGAUUUUACAGUUAAUCCAUACCAAUAUUACUACGGCAGCUAUGGGAUGCCCUACUAUGCAUAUUAGAUUUAGAUGUUAUUUAGUGAAAGAUGGUGAAAGAAAUUAGUUUUAUAUUGAUGCAUAACUAGUUUCAUUUAACCUUUUUUUUUUUGGGAGUUUUGCAUUGCAUGAAAUAAGAGACCCUUGAUGAAUGAUAUAUGGGAAGAUUUUGCGAUACUUAAUAUACAUUAGUUUAUUAAGCAUCUUAUUAAAAAAAAUAAUAAUGAUAGUCUUGUAAAUUAUUUCCAUAUGUCCUCAUUGAAUACUAAUUUGUUCCAUAUGUCGUCAUUGAAUUCUAAUUCGUCAUUACAAAUGAUACACUUUCGCACAACUAGUCGUUUACUUUAUUAUGAAUCAUAUGAAUGAACUUGGGCCGGACCGGCAAAAGUGAUGUGGCAUCUGUUGUGUGCAAGAAAUAUGAUGCUGAUUUGGGCAUGGAGAAGUUGAUGUACAUACCAGUCAUUUCUCCCUCCUCGGCAGGCAAAUGUUAUUUCCUUGUUGUUGGAAAACGCUUGGCAAAGAAGAUGCUAAGCUGGUGCUCUACUCCACGGGCGUGGAAAUAAGAGCGACUCCUUCAGAACGUUAUUAAGCGUCAAAUUGCUGAGAUGGUAAAAAGUUGCAAAAAGUAUGUAAUUUAGAAACACUUACAAAGUAGCUUAAUUUCUUAACGAUUUAGCCAAAAUAGCCAAAAAUUAGCUUUUAUCCAAAAAUAGUCAAUGAAACCGCAGAUGAGGCUAACACGCUUGUGGUUUCGUCAGCUCGGAUGUAGAAUUGUCGUUUGACAUGAGAUUUUGUAUUAUCUAUAAAAAACAUUCAUGUUGCCCAUUUUUGAAACACAAAAUCGCAUAUGGUACAUGGCCAUCUACGGUUUCCUGUUAAGUCCUCCACGAUUUCCACUUUUCUGACAUGCGGAUUUUUAUUUGUUAUGUUUACAAUAAAAGUUUGUAAGUUUGACUACGAUUUUUGUUCAUUUUGAAUAAGAUUUUUGACAUCUUUGGCUAUGAUUUUAUAUUUUCACUACUUUAUAUAGAAUGCAGAUAAAAAAUCUAAAGUAUUAGCGUUUAUUUUUUCAUGCUAUAUUUUUCAUUAAAAUAUUAUAAUUGCUACUAAAUAUUUUGAUGUGGUUGUAAUUGACGGAAAGUGAGAGAUAAAUGAUUAUCAACUAAGAUACGCUUGGCAACGAGGGGAAGUUCUAGAAUGUUUAGUUCCGUGUGCGAUUUUUGGAAAAUAUUACUUUUGUGAAUUUCUAUAUUUGGUGAAAGUAAGACUAGUUUGUUAGAUAAAUCAAAUGUUAGUCUUGCUUUCCGUCAUCCCAAAAUGCAAUAUAUUAUAGGGAAAAUGUCACCGUAGCCCCACGAACUUUCACAUUUUGGUUUUAAAGGUCCAUAUUGUUAUUUUUUGGCUUUAUAAGGGAAUGAAUUCUCUUUUUACCGGCUAAUUAGGGAUUUUGCCCCCAAUUCAACCGGUUUCUUUGCCUAGUCAUCACCUAACUCAGUUACAGAUUCAACUCACCCAACUCAGAUGACACAUCAACGAAUCACUAACGAGUUGCCUUGCUUGGGCCCUAAGGGUACAGUGGUCACCCAAUUCAUCACCCAUUUUCGUUUCCAAAUUUGUGAGAUUCACCAAAAUGUCAGGUUGUCAGCCAUCUCAUUGUAUCUUAACAUGAAAUCGAAUUAGGUAUUUUUGGAUGAUGUAGAAGCGUAUGGAUGAAGUCCUUGACCUGGCUCUCGCCAUCGAAAUGGUGGAAAGGGCAUCCAGGGCCGGGGGCAGAAGCCGAAGCCAACGAACAACAAUUGACGAUUCUUAUCCAUGAUUGUUAAAUCUUUUGCUUAUCUGUUAUGGAAUCGAUCUUUGUGAGUAAUGGCAUUAUCGACAUCAAUUUUGAUUUUAUCAAUUGAUUCUUUGUUUAAAAAAUUCUACCUACUCAUUCUCGUUUCAACAUCAAUUUAGUUUCUUGUUUAUGUCAUUCGAUGAAAUUAAUGAUGAUAUGGAGAUUCGAUGCUUUAAAGUUUUGAAAAUACAGAUAAUUGUGGUAAUGAACUCGACUGAUGAGUUGUUUGAUCUUAACAUCGAUUUGAAGAAGUGGGAUUUGGUGUUUAUGAUGUACUGGGUUCUGAAUGGUUAAUUUAACUCACAGGUUGUGUCAUAUGAGUGAAUGAAAUCGUGACAGAAACUUAAUGGAAUGAAAGCGCAUUUGUAAGGGUGUUCUUGUGAGUCAAACUAAAAAGGUCAAAAUUGGAAUUAUUGAUCUGUGAACGGUGUAAUCGGAUUUGAAGUACAUAUAUCGGAAGCGCGACUUUCAUCUGCCAUCGGAAAUUGAACAAAUGUUCUUACGGGUCAAUGGGAAAGUCAAAAUUAUGUUACUUGCGAAUGUUCGGCUCGGAAUUGGCGUUGUGUUUGAUCGAUUUAGACGAAUGGGUUCGUUGUUGGAUACUUGCCUUAUCUCAGAUUCUCAAUUGGAGGUCGAUGGAUGCAGCCUGCUAAGGUGUGCCAAGGAGUGCGAAUAUGUCUCCAGCGGUGGCAAUGGUCGUUGUUUCUUGGAGUUGACUUUCGGAAUUGAGAUCAAAUGAUAACGGGGAUUGGGGGUUGGGGGAGAGUAAGACGAAGAAGAAGCAAUAAGAAAGAAAGAAAGAAAUGAUGAAUGCUAUUUUGAGGGGAAGUGAUGAUAAUGGCGAUGGAUUCCACAUGGUUGUUCUCCCUCAAUUUUGUGCUCUCCAAUUCGUAUACAUUAGGUGGCAUCUGAUGUGGCAAAUGAGUUGGCUUUUUUUAAUGAUGUGUACAAGAUAACUGGCUGAUUGUGAAAGGGGUGACCGGGUGACCCCUUCACUUUCUAGAAAAUGGCCUUAAAAGCCGGUAAAAAGAGAAUUCAUGCCCUUCUAAAGCCAAAAAAUAACAAUAGGGACCUUUUAAACAUAAAAUGUCAAAGUUCGUGGGGCUACAAUGACAUUUUCCCUAUAUUAUAGUCAUAGUUGAUGAUGGUUAUGUUAGAAACUUGAUCAUUGUAAUUAAAGAGUUUUGGAAGAAAACCUAUGAAUGUAAUUUUCGUGGUUGUUGAAGGUGGUUGUGCUAAACAAGGAGACGAUAGUGUUAAUCAGUUGAAAACAUAUCCAGCGGAAAAGAAAGCAACUUCUAAUGUACCUCGAUUUCAUAGUGUUGUUGCUGAAAAUGAAAAAGUGGUGUAAUCACCUAUUCACUGUGUGGAUUUAUACGUAUGUUUUUACAUAUGUUAAUGAUGUAGGUGCAUGAGAUAAUACUGAACACCAACACCAAGUUCAACUUAAUGUGGUCGGUAAAGUUAAUGAAAUUGAAAACCAAGAAGUAGUUCUAUUUUUUAAUGAUGUCAAUCUAGCUGGUUACGGGGAUACAAUAGUUGUUCGUUUAGAUAUAUUCGGCCUAUAAAGUAAUUCCAAUGGAGAAAAGUCAGAUGGUGAACCAAUACAUAGGUUUCAUAUAUCUUAUUGUUUAGAUUAUGGGUUCCCUAAGGAUAUGCAUGGUUCUUUUGGGUUAUAGACUUCGAAUUAGACCAAGAAUGAAACCGUUAUCCUAUUCUAGGGUCGUGUGCGACCAUGUUUUCAUAAGGUGUUGCUUUGGUAGCAGCAUUGUUAUGCUCAGUUGGCAUUGUGAGGGAGUUGAUUAGGUCCCUUCAAGGCAAUGGGAUGAGGUGGGUAUCAUUAGGCACGGAGUGUUGGGCGGAUGAUGUGAUGUCGACAAGGUUGCUGUGAUACUGACAGCAUUCCAGACAUGGGAUGAGGGUUGGGGAGGGCAUUCCAGACUCAUGUUGUGGGCUCGGAGGCAAUCCAGACCUAUGCUGAGGACCUUGUAGGGGUAUUCCAGUCAUAGGCUGUGGGCCUAGUGAUCAUGAUUGUUUAUUUCUUCUAUUGGUAGUACCUUCGACGUUGGCGCGUUGAUCGGAAUCGAGGGACUCACCAAUCAGAUGGUUUGGAUAAAGGAAGAAAUACGGGUUGUAGGGGGUAUCAAUUAGGUAUCAAAAAGUCUAUGUAGGAUGUAUUGAUUAUGAUUCCGGUUGCUUGCAAGUUGUUGCUAAGGUUUUGAUUUUCAAGUUGGAAUUGGUUAUGAGGUCGCAAUUCAUAAAGUUCUUCAUGAUUGUCUCGAGUGGUUGUCCAGGUGAGGGUACACCUGAGUCUAUAAGGGGGUUAGAUGUAACACAUAAAUUCUUGGUUUGAUCAUCUUUGCUCGGUGAAGCAAUGGUUGGUAAUGGCAUAGCAGAGAGUUAAAGGGUUAUUAAGGUUUUGGUACAUCAUAUGGUUUGGUUUUGGGUCAAGUUCACAUUCGGUAUGUUUUAAGGAUCAUUUUUGCAUGUUUCUGUUAGUGUCUCCAGCUAGGGACUAGGGGCAAAUUCAUAAUUGGAUGUUCAUCAGUUGUAGGGAAGGGUCGUCAAGAAGAAUAAGAGUGGCCAUUUUCGAGUGGGCUUGUAAUGGGAACUCGUGUUGGGAAUCGCGCUUGUACCCUUGCAAGGUCUGUACUAAGAAAGAUGUGGAUCAAGAAAUUUUUAUGUCAAAGGCCUCAACUGGAGGGUUCAGGAUUUAGCUUAUGUGUCUGUGCUCUGGGAUUGUUCACCUGUGUAAAGGUCGUGCAAGUGAUGAUGGAAAUUGUGGUUUUCAAGUAAUAUCUUUAUGUCUCGGUUUAGAGGAAGAUGCAUGGCCUAAUAUUCGAAAAGACUUAAUUAAAGAGUUGAAGAAAUAUAAGUCGUAUAAUGUUGGCAUGUUUGAACCCAAAAUUAGUCUCAUAAUUCCAACGCUUAAAAUCUUUCAGCAGUCAUGCACCUAUUGGAUGAUAAUAUCGGAAAUAUGUAUUCUCAUUGCUUCAAGAUAUAAUAUAAUACUACAUGAUUUAACCGUCACAGGUAGUCAGACAUAGCUACCACUUCGAUCUUUUCCAUCGUUGUGGUAUAAAUGUGUUGCCAUAGCAAUUGGAUAUCAAAAUAACAGUCAUUACAUCAAAGCUAUAUUGGAUGGAGGUUACCUGAUGAAUACUAUUUCGCCACAUUGAAUGAGAUACGUAACUCUAUAUAAACAUCGACUAGACGCAUAUAAGUAGUUUUUAACCACUAAUCAUAGUACUUAAGAUGAUUUAGACAAAUUGAAGUUGUAAUAUGAAUUUUAUAUAGAAACAUAUGUAUUUGAUUGACAAAGUUAUUGUGUGGGACGUAACAUUUAUUUUUUUUUUAAAAAUUUAUAUGCUCUUAUUAUUAUUAUUAUUAUUUUUAAAAAGACUAUAAAUUGAACAAGUUCAAUAAGUAAAAGGUGUUAAAUGAAACUUAUUUCAAAUUUUGAAGGAUAGUAAGUGAAAAAUCUCAUUUAUUUGACCAAAUCUAAUUGUUUAAUAAUACAAAAAAAAAUAAUAAUAAUAAUAAUAAUAAUAAUAAUAAAGAAACUAGAUGAGGAACCCAACUUUGAAGGGUAUGGAUUUGGACAGCUCCGAUCAUUUUGGCAACUUCAUGAUUGUUAUCGAUAGAAAAGAUUACAUAGUAAUUUGGAGUGAAUAUAACUGUAACAUAAUAGUUUUUUAGAUAAUACAUAGAAAAAAAAACUUGACCACACCUAAUCGUAAUAUAGUAUAGUCGUGGCAAGAAAAUAUAUCGAACAGGGGGUUUGAUUAUAAAUUUUUAGGUAAAUCAAUAAUUCAACUACCAAGAUAAACUGUAUGUAAGUGGGUCACUUUGUUGCUAUCAAUUACCCUUAGAUUUGAGACCUGAUCUGCAGCAAGACAUUUGCAAGUCUAGAAGCAACAUCAACACCUUCCCAACCUUUUGGACGGUCCUCACAUCCAAUUAACUUUCUUGUUGUCUGCCAUUAUACUUAAGGUUGUUGCCGUAAGUUAAAGAGAAUAGUAAUAAGAAUCAGUAAAAUUUAGUGUGCAUCUCUUUCUGAUUUCUCACUCCAUAAUUACCACCAUAUGAUAUUCUCCAUAGUGAGAUUCUUUAAGUCAAUUCCACCAUGCCAAAAUUAAGACAAUAAUUACAAAUUAUAGCCUUCAACUGUUGAAUUGAUUUAAUGCAAAACUGAAGGCAUCAACUAAAGCUUGAAAGUAAUUUAAAACAUGAUAGGGAUAAACAAAAUGUUUUUCACUUAAGAUCUUAGACUAUAAUUGCAUACAUCAAUUUACCCAUAUGAAAUUUAAUAGAUGAAGGUACCAUACCAACCUUCUCAAGAGCAGAUACCUGAAAAACUUCAAAGAUCAAACAAAAGAAAAUCAAAAUUUUUUCCCAGAAUAAUAAACUGAAGAUAAACAAAAUUUAAGCAUGUAAAAUACUGAAAACAUAAGCGAUGUACAUUUUGAUCAUAUUUCUUGUAGGUAAAAUAAUUAUUUUUGGUCACUUAAAACAUGGCAUAAUAUGUAAAAAGAAAGCAUUUUUUACUAUUUAGGUUAAUUCCGGUCAUGACCAUUUUGGUCAAUUUGGUAAAAAUGACCAUUUUGAUAAUUUUGCUCAUAUCAAGCAGGGAAAACAGGGGAAAAAAGGUCAGGUGAACCACAGCGUAACAGCAAAAAAAAGAUAUCAUUUUGAUAUUUUGCUUAUUUCUAGUAAGUAAAUAGUAUAAAAAAUAUUUUGGUUAUUUAAGUAAUGUAAUUUCCGGCAAAACCACUUGGAAAUCGUGCUUUCAAUUUUUUUUUUGUUUUUUGUUUUUUUUGUUUUAGAUACUUUUUGGCUAGGUUUAUUCUUCUUAAAGUAUGAAUGUUUACCUUAGGCACUUUCUUUCGAUGGUCAAGAUGCUCAACAUGGAGCCUCACAGUAGAUGCAAUGAUCACCCAAUGAUUGCACUCAACGUCAGAAUAUGUAUAUGCAACGAUAUUAAACAAAGUUUUUGAACCUUCUUCUAUGGCUUUCAAGAUCAUAAGUUCUCUACUUAUACGAUUCCUGAAAUAAAACAAAAAGAUAUUGACUCAAUUCCAACAUCUUACUAUAAUAUGCAUCCAACCAAAACAACCACAUAAGAUUUUCUUAAUAAUGAAUAUGUCUUUUCCAUACUUCAAUACCGAAAAAGCAUAUGUUUUUCAUCUAUAAAUUAACCCUCCCAUGUAUGCCCCUACAUUAGCAACACAAAAGUUUUAAAAUUUUACAAUGUAAGUUAAUUAGAUUAUCUAGUGGUAGUUACAGAUAAACACUCUUUUCCCUCCUAUAUUAUAAAAAUUAAAAAUCAAUUUUUUAAUAAAAAUAGAAUAAAAUAAGAUGCAAAAAUAGACUAUUUUGUAAUUGAUCCAUAAAUACAUAAUGCAACCACUCUGCGCAAUGAAUGGCACAUAUUCAUAUAUGUCCCCUUUAUCGUUAUUAAAUAUUAUUCUCCAAAUGACGUCCACAUAUCUUCAGUUUCUAUGUAUAAACUUUUCAAGCUCUUAAAGGGAAUAUUUGGCAUACAAAUAUAGCAUGUAACUUUUUCCACCCAACCAUAAAGUAGAAUAUGCAUACAUUCAUUGAUUAAUCAUUAAUUAUUAUAUAAUGGUAACUAAUUAAUUGUAAAUAAUAAAAUAAAAUGCUACUGACCUAAAGAGAGAAACUUGAGCUAUGUUUGUCGGCCACCGCAUCUCCACUAGAUCAACCAAAUACCUUCUCAAAAUUCCUGCCCAUCCAUACCCUCAAAAAUGUUGGUUUUAAAUAAUACUAGUAAAAAAUUUAUAAAGAUUUCAGAUGUUGAAACUUGAAACGUGAAAGUCUUAAAUUGUUGUUUACCUCUGUGAUUACAUCUGUAAUGAGGAGUUCAGCAAUUUUGAUUUCGUCAGCAGUACCCAAUAGUUUUAGAUAUAAGUGAUGAUGAAUCUUGGAGGCAGUAUCAGAUAGAAUCCCAAUUGUGGCUCCUGAGACACUUUGAAUGUUGAUUAUCCUUGCAUCACCUUUCCCAAGAAUACUGUUAAACUAAGAAUUGAAAGAAAGGAGAAUUAGAAUGAGUCGUAUAAGAUUGGUUUAUGUAUAAAAGGAAAAUGAAGGAUGAUUUCUUAUUUCUUUUUCACAAAACCUAAAUUGGAUCUUCUUCACUGCUUCUGGUGCAAUUUCUACAAAGUUUCUUGGUGGACCUGAUGAUAACAGAGACAGUGAUUUAGUCAGAAAAUUUCAUUGAUGCAUUAAUCAAACCACAGAGGAAACUCAAACACUUUCUAUAAUAAGCUUUCAUAAUAGUAAUGGCUCCAAUCGAGUAGGCAUCACCCCCAACCCUAAUCACCUAAAUCGAACCAUAGCACAAACCAAGUUCUCCUAUCAACGACCAAAAACAAAAUCAUUUAACAUAUGAUUUAAAGCAAAGUUUAACAAAACGAACUUGCAAUUUUCGAAGUCGGAUUCAUGAUACAACGAACAUGAAUCUCCUCUUGAGAAUAGAAGAUAUAUAAAAACUCGGAUGAAAAUAAAUUUGAGAGAAAUCAAUCAUCUAUACAAAGAUAUAGAGAAGUAGAGCGGGGGCAAAACCUCAUUGGUUGACUACGGCGAUGUUGAUGCUGACUGAAAAGCUGGUGAGGCGGUGGAAGCAAACAAUGAUGAGUGAAGAAAAAUGACGUACGCGUGUGAGGGCAGAUAACCGAAAGUGUGAUGUGGGCAUCUGCUUUAUAUAUGGCUGAAAUGGAUUGUUGAACUCACACAGUGUACCAAUGGUUGAUUCCGGUGCAGUGGAGACAUCAAGAAGAAUGAAGAUCGAGAUGUCGUUGGAAGCCACCGAUCAGAGAUUGAGAAGUUAUGGCGGUGGGAACAAUCUAGAAAGAAAUAGAUAGAAGACUAAGCGGAGGUAAAGUAAGGUAAAGUAAGUGAGCGGUAGCGGAAGGCUCGGGAAGUAAAAGCCCUAACCCUUGUCGGAUUGCUAACACGUGUUGACAAAGAAUAUAAUACGUCAAAAAAUGAAAUCAAGCCGAAAUUGCACCCACACUCAUAAACACAAGGGACCAUUUCUACCAUCCUCUUAGGAACUUUACUGUUCUUAAGAAGUGGAUAACUUUUAUUUAUAUAUANNNNNNNNNNNNNNNNNNNNNNNNNNNNNNNNNNNNNNNNNNNNNNNNNNNNNNNNNNNNNNNNNNNNNNNNNNNNNNNNNNNNNNNNNNNNNNNNNNNNNNNNNNNNNNNNNNNNNNNNNNNNNNNNNNNNNNNNNNNNNNNNNNNNNNNNNNNNNNNNNNNNNNNNNNNNNNNNNNNNNNNNNNNNNNNNNNNNNNNNNNNNNNNNNNNNNNNNNUAUAUAUAUAUAUAUAUAUAUAAGAAAAAGUUGUACACUUAGUAAUUUGUAACUGAGGUUUAUUAUAGGGAUAAUGACUUUAAAGGGUAAUAUAUUUUUCGAUUUGUACACAUUUGGUCACUGAGUUUAUUUUUUGUUCACAUUUACCCCUUCAACUUGUUAAACUGUACACAUUCAGUCCUUAUGAUCGGUUAUUUCAGGUGAACCAGUAAAAAUGUCUUAAUAGGGUAAUAUAUUUCUCAUUUUGUACACAUUUAGUUUUUAAUAAUUUUGUACACAUUUAGUCCUUAAACUUUUUUUUUUAUUGCAAAAUAAUUUUUUUUUUUGUUUUUGUACUCAUUCAAUACUUAUGAAUGUUUUAUUUAAGUUAUUCUCACAACAUCUUACAUGGAACAAUCAUUAACGAGGUGUUUUAGACUUUUGAUGCUUAUGUCCAUCGCGAUCUCGACUACUUGGUUGCUUAGGUAAUGUGUUUUGAACAUCAUAACUUUUUCAUACUAUCUCGGUUUUUAACGAUCUUUAUAUCUAUGUGUUUGUAUUUUAGUUACUACAACUUUCGUUUAGAAUAUUUCCGUUAAAAAGUAAUAUAUUUUUUAAUUAUGAUUUUUAUAUUCAUAUGUUUUUUAUGAAUGCAUUUAUGGAUGUUUUUUUUAUAAAAUCGUAAGUAAAAACAUAUUACAUUUUAACGGGAGUAAUCUUAACGAAAGUUCUAGUAGACUUAAAAAACGAACACGUAGACAUAAAGAUCUUUAAAAUUAGAUAUCGUAUGAAGAAGUUACAACGUUCGGAAUACAAAACCUAAGUCAAACCACAAGUCCUAUGCAACCAAGCAAUCGAGGCUGCGAUGAACAUAAACAUCAACAGCCCCAAGCACCUCAUCAAUCAGGGACGGGUGUAGGAUUUGGUAGUAGGUGUUGUCGGUCCGUAGUAGGUGUUGCCGGUAAGUAGAAAAAAGAAAAAAAUUUUGAAAAAUGUCGAAAAAUUUACACUGCAUAAAGAAAAGCAGGGUUGUCGGUGCCACUACGGGCACCCAAAGAGAACCGUCCCUGUCGUCAAUGAUAGUCCCAUGUUAGAUGUCGUGAGAAAAACCUUAAAUAAAUCAUUCAUAAAUACUUAAUUGGUACAAAAACAAAAAAUGACUUAUUUUGAAACAAAAAAAAUUAAUCACUAAAUAUGUACAAAAAUAUUAAGGACUAAAUGUAUACAAAAUGAGAAAUCUAUUACACUAAUAAGUCAUUUUUCCGGCUAACCUGAAGUAACCGGUCAUAAGGAUUGAAUGUAUACAGUUUAACAAGUUGAAGCGAUAAAUGUGGAAGGAAAAAAAACUCAGUUACCAAAUGUGUACAAAUCGAAAAAUAUAUUACCUUUUUAAAUCAUUAUCCCUUUAUUAUAUGUAAAUAAUAAUUGUGGUGUAGAAAAACAAAAAGGGGUAAAUUUGAAACUUUUAUGUAAAUGAAAGGCAUGUAAACAAAAGUUUGAAAAAGAAGUACGUAUGCAUAUCAUCUAGAAAAUGACGUGCCUUUAUUGCCUUUACGGUCCCAGAAGUUGGUGACAGAGAUCCAAAAAGUUAUUCAAUUAUUUGUAAAAUAAAAUAGUGCGAAGCUUCCUUUCCCACGGCGUUGACGACCUUGUCGUCUUCGUCCUCUGUGAACUCCUGGACAAUAUUCUAUAAAUACCCUCUCAGUACUUUGAAUCUUCACACGUCUUCUUUAAAUCCAAUACAGAUACACUCGGCACAGUCAAAUCAGCAUCUACUUUACAGAAAUGGCAAAGGUACACAUUUCUUUACUAAUCCAGUUCAAUUCUGUUUUGUUUUUUCGAAUAAGUUAAACUCAAUUUGUGUAAUUGAUUGGUUUUGCAGCAAAAGAUUGUGGUGAAGGUCACAAUGAACAACGAAAAGAAAAUCCGUAAGGCUCUGAAAAUCGCAGUUAGUCUCUCCGGUAAGAUCAUGUUUCGAGAUUUCCCUCUUCUCAAUUUUCACUUAAUUCUGGUUUUCCAGAAAAAUCGUUUAAUUUCAAUUUCAUAACGUAAAUGUUAACCUCAAUUUGAAUUGUGGGUUUUAUACCUGAUUAUUGUUAACCUCAAUUGGAAUUGAUUGAAUUACUCGACUAAAUCAUGAUCUGAAAAUUGAUGAACAGGUGUUGAAUCAGCAUCUUUCGUUGGAUCAGAUAAAACCCAAAUCGCUGUGACUGGGGAACGUGUCGACUCAGUUGAACUGGCGAACUUGCUAAGGAAAGGUAUUGGAUACACAGAGCUAGUGAGUGUUGGUCCGGUGGAGGAGAAGAAACCAGCCGCCGCAAAAGAAACAAAUCCCACGGUGGCGCCACUAGAUUUUACAGUUAAUCCAUACCAAUAUUACUACGGCAGCUAUGGGAUGCCCUACUAUGCAUAUUAGAUUUAGAUGUUAUUUAGUGAAAGAUGGUGAAAGAAAUUAGUUUUAUAUUGAUGCAUAACUAGUUUCAUUUAACCUUUUUUUUUUGGGAGUUUUGCAUUGCAUGAAAUAAGAGACCCUUGAUGUACAUAUUAUCUUUGUGAUAUAUGGGAAGAUUUUGCGAUACUUUAUAUACAUUAGUUUAUUAAGCAUCUUAUUAAAAAAAAUAAUAAUGAUAGUCUUGUAAAUUAUUUCCAUAUGUCCUCAUUGAAUACUAAUUUGUUCCAUAUGUCGUCAUUGAAUUCUAAUUCGUCAUUACAAAUGAUACACUUUCGCACAACUAGUCGUUUACUUUAUUAUGAAUCAUAUGAAUGAACUUGGGCCGGACCGGCAAAAGUGAUGUGGCAUCUGUUGUGUGCAAGAAAUAUGAUGCUGAUUUGGGCAUGGAGAAGUUGAUGUACAUACCAGUCAUUUCUCCCUCCUCAGCAGGCAAAUGUUAUUUCCUUGUUGUCGGAAAACGCUUGGCAAAGAAGAUGCUAAGCUGGUGCUCUACUCCACGGACGUGGAAAUAAGAGCGACUCCUUCAGAACGUUAUUAAGCGUCAAAUUGGUGAGACGGUAAAAAGUUGCAAAAAGUAUGUAAUUUAGAAACACUUACAAAGUAGCUUAAUUUCUUAACGAUUUAGCCAAAAUAGCCAAAAAUUAGCUUUUAUCCAAAAAUAGUCAAUGAAACCGCAAAUGAGGCUAACACGCUUGUGGUUUCGUCAGCUCGGAUGUAGAAUUGUCGUUUGACAUGAGAUUUUGUAUUAUCUAUAAAAAAACAUUCAUGUUGCCCAUUUUUGAAACACAAAAUCCAUAUGGUACAUGGCCAUCUACGGUUUCCUGUUAAGUCCUCCGCGAUUUCCACUUUUUUGACAUGCGGAUUUUUAUUUGUUAUGUUUACAAUAAAAGUUUGUAAGUUUGACUACGAUUUUUGUUCAUUUUGAAUAAGAUUUUUGACAUCUUUGGCUAUGAUUUUAUAUUUUCACUACUUUAUAUAGAAUGCAGAUAAAAAAUCUAAAGUAUUAGCGUUUAUUUUUUCAUGCUAUAUUUUUCAUUAAAAUAUUAUAAUUGCUACUAAAUAUUUUGAUGUGGUUGUAAUUGACGGAAAGUGAGAGAUAAAUGAUUAUCAACUAAGAUACGCUUGGCAACGAGGGGAAGUUCUAGAAUGUUUAGUUCCGUGUGCGAUUUUUGGAAAAUAUUACUUUUGUGAAUUUCUAUAUUUGGUGAAAGUAAGACUUGUUAGAUAAAUCAAAUGUUAGUCUUGCUUUCCGUCAUCCCAAAAUGCAAUAUACUAUAGGGAAAAUGUCACUGUAGCCCCACGAACUUUCACAUUUUGGUUUUAAAGGUCCUUAUUGUUAUUUUUUGGCUUUAUAAGGGAAUGAAUUCUCUUUUUACCGGCUAAUUAGGGAUUUUGCCCCCAAUUCAACCGGUUUCUUUACCUAGUCAUCACCUAACUCAGUUACAGAUUCAAUUCACCCAACUCAGAUGACACAUCAACGAAUCACUAACGAGUUGUCUUGCUUGGGCCCUAAGGGUACAGUGGUCACCCAAUUCAUCACCCAUUUUCGUUUCCAAAUUUGUGAGAUUCACCAAAAUGUCAGGUUGUCAGCCAUCUCAUUGUAUCUUAACAUGAAAUCGAAUUAGGUAUUUUUGGAUGAUGUAGAAGCGUAUGGAUGAAGUCCUUGACCUGGCUCUCGCCAUCGAAAUGGUGGAAAGGGCAUCCAGGGCCGGGGCAGAAGCCGAAGCCAACGAACAACAAUUGACGAUUCUUAUCCAUGAUUGUUAAAUCUUUUGCUUAUCUGUUCUGGAAUCGGUCUUUGUCGUCAUUGAAUUCUAAUUCGUCAUUACAAAUGAUACACUUUUGUACAACUAGUCGUUUACUUUAUUAUGAAUCAUCAUAUUCAUCAUAAUAUGAAUGAGCUGAUGUACAUACCUGUCAUUUCUCUCUCUUCGGCAGGAAAAUGUUAUUUCCUUGUUGUCGGAAAAGGCUUGGCAAAGAAGAUGCUAAGUUGGUGCUCUACUCCUACCAUAACCACUCCCUCUUGCCAUAGGUCUAUGGAAAUAAGACCGACUCCUUCAGAACGUUAUUAAGCGUCAAAUUGGUGAGAUGGUAAAAAGUUACACAAAGUAUGUAAUUUAGAAAUAUUUACAAAAUAGCUUUAAUUUCUUAAUGAUUUAGCCAAAAUAGGCAAAAUUAGCUUUUAUCGAAAAAUAGCCAGCGAAACCACUGAUGAGGUUAACAUGCCAUCAGUUUCGUUAACUAAGAUGUAGAAUUGUCGUUUGACAUGAGAUUUUGUGUUAUCUAUAAAAAAACAUUCAUUUUGCCCAUUUUGAAACACAAAGUCGCAUACGGCACAUGGCCAUCUGCGGUUUCCUCUCAAGUCUUCCACGAUUUCCACUUUUUUGACAUGCGGUUUUUUAUUUGUAGCGUUCUCAAUGAAAGCUUGUAAGUUUGACUACGAUUUUUGUUCUUUUUGAAUAUGAUUUUUGACAUCUUUGACUAUUGUUUUGUAUAUUUUCACUACUACUUUAUAUAUAGAAUGUGGAUAAAAAAAAUUAAAGUAUUAGUGUUUAUUUUUAAUGUUAUAUUUUUCAUUAAAAAUAUUAUGAUUUCUACUAAAUAUUUUGAUGUGAUUGUAACCGGCGGAAAGUGAGAGAUAAAUGAUUAUCAACUAAAAUUCAUUUGGAAAUGGGAGGGGGGGGGGGGGGGGGAGUUCUACAAUAGUUCUGUGUGCGAUUUUCAGAAAAUAUUACUUUUUGUGAAUUUCUAUAUUUGGUGAAAGUAAGACUAGUUUGUUAGAUAAAUCAAAUAUUAGUCUUGUUUCCCGUCAUCCUAAAGUGCAGUAUAUUAUAGUCAUAGUUGAUGAUGGUUAUGUUAGAAACUUGAUCAAUGUAAUUAAAGAGUUUUGGAAGAAAACCUAUGAUUGUAAUUGUCGUGGUUAUUGAAGGUGAUGUGCUAAGGAAAGAGACGAUAGUGGAAAAACAUCAGUUGAAAAUAUAUCCAGCGGAAAAGGAAGCAACUCCUAAUGUACCUCGAUUUCAUAGUGUUGCUGAAAAUGAAAAUGUGGUGUAGUCACCGAUUCACUAUGUGGAUCCUCAAAAUUAUACGUAUGUUGUUACAUAUCUUAAUGAUUUAGGUGCAUGCGAUAAUACUGAACACCAACACCAAGUUCAGCUUAAUGAGGUCGGUAAAGUUAACGAAAUUGAAAACCAAGAAGAAGUUCCAUUUUUUAAUGAUGUCAAUCUAGCUGGUUACGGGGAUACAAUAGUUGUCCGUUUAGAUAUAUCCGACCUAUAAAGUAAUUCCAAUUGAGAAAACUCAUAUGGUGAACCAAUACAUAGGUUUCAUAUACCAUAUUGUAUAGUGUUUAUAUAUAUAUAUAUAUAUNAUUCGGCCUAUAAAGUAAUUCCAAUUGAGAAAACUCAUAUGGUGAACCAAUACAUAGGUUUCAUAUACCAUAUUGUAUAGUAUUCCCUGUUUACCAUUAUGUAAAUUAGACCCUAGUGUCACGAACGAGAUUCUAGAUUCUUCUGGAGUACUCAAGAAAGUGGGAGAACUUGCAAGAAAAGACCCUGGAAUGUCCUAAAUUUCUCUAGGACAUCGAAGAACAAUUUAGCACAUUUCAUGAACCCUUGUAAAUACAUGAAGCUUUGUAGAAUAUUCUAGAUUAGUCAAGAAGAUAAGACUAAUGUACCAUUGUCUAGAAACUUCCUUAGAGGGGGAAGGACAAGUAUAAAUAGGGAGGAGCUCAUUUGCUCCAAAACCAUUGGAAGUUCUCUUGUAUUCUCUCGAGCUCUCUAAUAGAAGUUCUCUUUCGUUUGUAGAAACUUCAAAGCCUUUAUUAUCUUGUUUACUUAGUCGUUUAUACAUCCAAAAGAAGUGUUGUAGCCUGACUUAGUUGAAGUUACACUAAGUGGCACACGGUGGUUGUGUUGUCCCGUGACACGUGGUAUCAAAUCCAGAGUUCGUACAAGCAAGAGAUCAUAACUACGGAAGCAGGAAGUAGCAAAAUAGCAAACCUACCACCUGUUGUCGAAGAGAGAGGAAGAAAGUCCAAGAAGAGGGACCAAUCGAUAGAUGCCUUGGCAAGCUUAGAAAACAAGCUUACAAGGACGGAGAUCAACGUCGGGGAGAUCCUUGAAUGGAAGGAUACCGUCGAUCAGUUCGUUGCGGAGAUAAGUGACACGAGCGAUGGAUUGAAGGAGACCAUCGGUGUCAUCAAGGAAGAAGUCCUUGGACUUGUCAACACCUUGCGAAAUGAGUAUCUUGAGAAUAUAAACGCUUUAAAAGAUGAGGUGAAGCUAUGCAAAGCAGCGAUAGCCGGAGGAUUUGUCACGAAGAUGACGCCACACACAGAAGCACCUAAGCCCUCGAAAUAUGGAGGUAAGCGUGAUCCUAAAUUACUCGAAGAAUUUUUCUGGUCCCUAGAAUGUUAUUUCAAUGCAGUCGGAGUAAGGGAGACAAGUACAAAAUAGACACGUUGUUCUAUACUUGAGUGAAAACGCGGCACUAUGGUGGAGGCGGAAGCAUGGUGAGAUUGAAAAGGGCUUGUAUGUCAUAGACACUUGGGACGAGUUUAAGAGACAACUCAAGAAACAAUUAUGUCCCCAUAAUGCUAAAGACGUGGCCAUGAAGAAGCUACGAGGAUUGAAACAUGUCGGGUCUAUUAUAGAUUACGUGGCAGAAUUUACCACCUUGAUGCUGGAGUUGCCCGAUUUACAAAAAAAAAAGAUAAGUUAUUUUAUUUCCAAGACGGACUACAAUCUUGGGCUUAUAACGAGUUCAAGAGGAGAAACGUACAAGAUGUGGACGAAGCUAUAACAGUAGCGGAAGACCUUAUGGACUUCCGAAGAGAUACCCCGGCUAGGAAACCAAGUGGGGGAGAGAGACCAACGACAAGGCCGUUACAAAAGGACGAUAAACCCGCUGCAAGAUCGGCAACUUUCAAAGGGAAGGCGAUUGAAGUAGGUCCUCGAAAGGAAGUCAAGUGCUAUUUAUGUGACAGCCCUCAUCUAAUCAGAGAUUGUCCCAAAAAGAAAAGUUUCAACGCGAUGGUUUUCGAAGAAGAAAAGGAAGAAAGAGACGAGGCACAACUAGGCUCCAUGCGACUCCUUAAUUCAGUGGCAAAAGAAGAGAGCCGCACAAUGAAAGAAAAAGGAAUCAUGUUUGUGAAAGUUGAAAUAAACAACCAAGUCACUAAAUCCCUAAUAGACACAGGUGCGUCCCAUAAUUUCCUUUCUAAAAACGAAGCUGAAAAGAUGAACGUUCAAUACACAAAAGAAAUAGGCUGGUUGAAAGUUGUCAACUCUCCUUCCGAGCCUAUCCUUGGAGUCGCUUAUGGAGUAAUUGUCGAGAUCGGAGGAUGGAAGGGUCCUAUCGAUCUAACCGUAGUUCCCAUGGAUGAUUAUCACAUGGUCUUGGGGAUGGAGUUCUUUGACCAGGUACGCCCUUUCUCGUUCGAAGAUCAAACCAUGUGUAUCACCAAAGAUUCAACGAUACACAUCGUACCCGUAGAAAGAAGCAAAACAGAGUCUCGGAUCUUAUCAGCCAUACAACUCAACAAGGGACUAAAGAAGGGAGAGGUGACAUACUUAGCUACAUUAAAAGAAGAAACUGAACUCUCCAAGUCAGAAGUUCCUAAAGAAAUCAAGAAGGUACUAGAAGAAUUCAAAGACGUAAUGCCACCGGAGUUGCCAAAGAUGUUACCACCAAGAAGGGAGGUAGAUCACGAAAUAGAGCUUGAACCCAGAGCCAAGCCACCAGAAAUGUGUCCGUAUAGAAUGGUUCCACCGGAGUUGGAAGAACUAAGGCGACAGUUAAAAGAGUUACUAGACGUUGGGUUCAUUAGACCUUCCAAAGCCCCGUUUGGUGCACCGGUACUAUUCCAAAAGAAACACGAUGGUAGCUUGAGAAUGUGCAUCGACUAUCGAGCACUAAAUAAAGUGACGGUGAAGAACAAGUACCCCAUACCCUUGGUCACUGAUCUGUUUGAUCGACUAGUAAAGGCACGAUGGUUUUCAAAGCUGGAUUUGCGAUCGGGAUAUUGGCAAGUGCGUAUAGCAGCAGGAGACGAACCAAAGACAACGUGCGUAACGAGGUACGACUCUUUUGAGUUUUUAGUAAUGCCCUUUGGGUUAACCAACUCACUUGCCACAUUUUGCACCUUGAUGAAUAAGAUAUUCCACCUGUUCUUGGACAAAUUUGUGGUGAUAUACUUGGACGAUAUUGUAGUGUACUUAGAGUCACUCGAAGAACACGUCGAGCACCUACGAUCGGUUUUCAAAGUACUUAAAGAAAACCAACUAUAUGUGAAAGCGGAAAGUGUUCCUUCGCCCAAACUGAAGUAUCGUUUCUAGGGCAUAAAAUUAUGGGUGGAAAGAUUCAUAUGGACAAAGACAAAGUACGUGUUAUCAAAGAAUGGGAGGCACCAAAGAACAUGUCGGAACUACGCUCGUUCCUAGGCUUAAUGAAUUAUUAUCGAAGGUUCAUACCCAGCUACUCGGCCAGAGCUACACCGCUGACGGAGCUCCUAAAGAAAAAAGCGACUUGGCAGUGGACAGAAAAGUGCCAAAAGACCUUCGAUGACCUAAAGAACGUUGUCAUGGAAGAACCAAUCUUGAAGCUACUAGAUUAUUCCAAACAAUUCCAGGUACAAACUGAUGCUUUUGACUUUGCCAUUGGAGGAGUAUUAAUACAGGACGACCACCCUGUGGCGUAUGAUAGUCAAAAACUAAACGAGACAACACGAAGGUAUCUGGUGCAUGACAAGGAGAUGAUAGCCAUCAUCCAUUGCGUUUGGAUAUGGAGACAUUAUUUGCUUGGAAGCCGAUUCAUAAUUCAAACUGAUAAUGUGGCCACGAGUUACUUUCAAAAUCAAAAGAAACUCAGUCCCAAACAAGCACGUUGGCAGGACUUCCUAGCUAAGUUCGAUUACAUAAUGGAGUACAAACCUGGGAAAACCAAUGUUGUUGCCGACACUUUAAGUCGCACGGCAGAACUGGCAGCUCUCACCUUAGUAACGUGUAACCUUGUCGAUCGAAUAAAAGAAGGGUUGAGCCACGAAUCACUAGCCAUAAACUUGAUGGAACUAGUUAUAGAUGGCAAAACGAUAAAAUUUUGGGUCGAAGAAGGAUUCCUACUCACAGUUGGCAACCGUAUGUAUGUUCCAAAAUGGGAGAACUUAAGGUGUGAAGUCAUGAAGGAAUGUCACGACUCUAAGUGGGCCGGACAUCCGGGCACCCAUCGUACGAGGGCACUUGUUGAACGAUCAUAUUAUUGGCCAAGUAUGUGAAGUGACGUGGACGCAUAUGUAAAGACGUGUCUUAUAUGUCAACAAGACAAACUAGAACCACUUCCGAUUGCUGAACGACCAUGGGAAAGUAUAUCAAUGGACUUCAUCUCAGCACUACCUAUGUCUGAAGGGUGCGGCUCCAUAAUGGUAGUUGUAGAUCGGUUUUCAAAAUAUGGAACAUUUAUUUCCGCCCCACGAGAUUGCACGGCCGAAGAAUCCGGACGUCUAUUCUUCAAAAAUGUCGUGAAGUAUUGGGGACUACCGCGAAGCAUUAUAAGUGAUAGAGAUCCUCGCUUUACGGGAAAAUUUUGGAGAGAGCUAUUUAAGUUCAUAGGAUCGGAUCUCCACUUUUCAACAAGUUUUCACCCCCAAACUGAUGGCCAGACUGAGAGGGUGAAUCACUUGCUCGAAAUUUACGUAAGGCCCUUUGUGAGCGCCAACCAGCGAGAUUGGGCCAAGUUAAUAGAUGUGGCUCAAUUUUCUUAUAACUUACAACUAAGCGAGGCUACAGGAAGGAGUCCUUUUGAAAUCACUACGGGUCAGCAACCGCUAACACCAAACGAACUAAUUAAAAGCUACAAAGGAUCCAACCCUCUAUAUAUAAGUUCGCAAAAGGGUAGAAUGAAGAACUCGACAUAGCGAAGUCUUACUUGAAUAAGGCUGCCAAACGAAUGAAGAAAUGUGCAGAUGAAAAAAGGCAACCACGAGAGUUCAUUGUAGGAGACGAAGUUAUGGUAAAACUACCGCAAAGAAUGUUCAAAUCUAGCCGACAAGUACAUAAAGGCUUGACCAGAAGAUACGAGGGGCCUUAUAAGAUUGUUGAAAAGAUCGGAACAAGGUCAUACAAACUAGACUUACCAUCCAAACUAAAGAUUCACCAUGUAUUCCAUGUAAGUCUCCUCAAACAAUACAAUAGAGACAAGGAAGACCCCUCUAGAAGUGAAUCACAACGCGCCCCGGUCGCCAAUGUUGUCUCGUAUGAUAAGGAAGUGGAUGAAAUUUUAGCCGACAGAGUAAUACGAAAAAGAGUAUCACCCAACUGGACAGAGUAUUACGUGCGAUGGAAAGGAGUACCCGACAAUGAAUCUAGUUGGGAACGUGAACAAGAUUUGUGGCAAUUCCGAAGCAAAAUCGAGGAGUACAAAUCGAAGACUUAACGAGGACGUCAAGAACUUAAGUUGGGGAGGGUGUCACAAACGAUAUUCUAGAUUCUUCCGGAGUACUCAAGAAAGUGGGAGAACUUACAAGAAAAGACCCUGGAACGUCCUAGAUUUCUCUAGGACAUCGAAGAACAAUUUAGCACAUUUCAUGAACCCUUGUAAAUACAUGAAGCUUUGUAGAAUAUUCUAGAUUAGUCAAGAAGAUAGGACUAAUGUAGCAUUGUCUAGAAACUUCCCUAGAGGGGGAAGGACAAGUAUAAAUAGGGAGGAGCUCAUUUGCUCCAAAACCAUUGGAAGUUCUCUUGUAUUCUCUCGAGCUCUCUAAUAGAAGUUCUCUUUCGUUUGUAGAAACUUCAAAGCCUUUAUUCUCUUGCUUACUUAGUCGUUUAUACAUCCAAAAGAAGUGUUGUAGUCUGACUUAGUCGAAGUUACACUAAGUGGCACACGGUGGUUGUGUUGUCCCGUGACACUAGUCAAAAGAUAGAACUUCCACACAUAUUUUCAAGCAAAGAAGCUCUUAAAAUGGUUUUUGGAAAAGAAAUGUAUUAAGAGAGGUUUUUCAAUGCAAGACAACCAAAUUUACCAGAUUAACCAAAUAAAGGUUCGAGUUUUUUUUUUUAGUUUGAGAAAAAAAAAAGUUCUUGAAUGACACUAGUCAAAAGAUCAAAUAAUGUGAUUGGCCUUUCCAAGUCACAAUACAUUUUGACACACACAUGUUCUUCAAUAUAGCUACACCCGAAGCAUCAACAAGUACAAAAAAUAUUUUGGUUAUUUAAGUAAUGUAAUUUCCGGCAAAACCGCUUGGAAAUCGUGAUUUCAUUUUUUUUAUUUUUUUUGGAUACUUUUUGGCUAGGUUUAUUCUCCUUAAAAUAUGAAUGUUUACCUUAGGCACUUUCUUUCGAUGGUCAAGAUUCUCAACAUGGAGCCUCACAUUAGAUGCAAUGAUCACCCAAUGAUUGCGCUCAACGUCAACAUAUGUAUAUACAACGAUAUUAAACAAAGUUUUUGAACCUGCUUCUAUGGCUUUCAUGAUCAUAAAUUCUCUACUUAUACGAUUCUUGGAAUAAAACAAAAAGAUAUUGACUCAAUUCCAACAUCUUACUAUAAUAUGCAUCCAACCAAAACAAGCACAUAAGAUUUGUUUAAUAAUUAAUGUCUUUUCCAUACUUUAGAUACCCACACAGCAUAUGUUUUUCAGCUACAAAUUAACACUCCCAUGUACGCCCCUACAUUAGCAACACAAAAAUUUUAAAAUUUUACAAUGUAAGUUAAUUAGAUUAUCUAGUGGUAGUUAUCGAUAAGCACUCUUUUCGCUGAUAUAUUAUAAAAAUUAAAAAUCAAUUUUUUUUAAUAAAAGUAGAAUAAAAUAAGAUGCAAUAAUAGACUAUUUUGUAAUUGAUCCGUAAAUAUAUAAUGCAACCACUGUGCGCAAUGAAUGGCACAUAUUCAUAUAUGUCCCCUUUAUCGUUAUUAAUUAUUAUUCUCCAAAUGAUGUCCACAUAUCUUCAGUUUCUUUGUAUAAGCUUUUCAAGCUCUCGAAGGGAAUAUUUGGCAUACAAAUAUAACAUGUAAUUUUUUCCACCGAACCAUAAAGUAGAAUAUCCAUACAUUCAUUGAUUAAUCAUUAAUUAUUAUAUAAUAGUAACUAAUUAAUUGUAAAUAAUAAAAUAAAAUGUUACUGACCUAAAGAGAGAAACCUGAGUUAUGUUUGUCGGCCACCACCUCUCCACUGGAUCAACCAAAUACCUUCUCAACAUUCCUACUUAUCCAUACCCUGAAAAAUGUUGGUUUUAAAUUAUAUUAGAAAAAAAUUAUAAAGAUUUCAGAUGUUGAAACUUGAAACUUGAAAGCCUUGAAUUGUUGUUUACCUUUGUGAUUGCAUCUGUAAGGGAGGAGGGAGUCAUUCCCUCCCAACCUACUGAACCCAUUGUCACAUCACUUUUUCUCUUUUAUUUUUCUUCAUUUUUCCGAACCCACAACUCACGGAAACUCUAUCUUUUUUAACCCACUCAACUCACUCAAUUAAAAAAAAAUAAAAAACAAUCAAAUGAAAAAUUUUAAUUACCAAUAGAGUUAUUGGCAGUACCACUCCCGCUUCAACGAAUGGGUUGAUUGGUUUCAGUAACCCACUUCAUCAUCUCUCUACUUUCUCUCUCUUAUUUUCUCGUGUACCAUGUGUUUUAAAACUUGUACGUUAGUUGUUUUGUAUUUUUUUUAAUUGAGUGGGUUGAAUGGGUUCAAAAAGAUAGAAUUUUCGUGUGUUGUGGGUUGGGAAAGAUAAAGAAAAAAAAAAGACAAAAAUUGAUGCGAUAGUGGGUUCGGUGGGUUGGGAGGGAACGACUUCCUCCUCCCUAAUGAGGACAAAGGCUAGGUGGCUUGGGCCACAGCCUGGGGCAUCAAAUUUGUAGGGGCAUUAUAUUUGGUUAGUUACUUAUAAAUAUAGUUAUUUUAUUUGGGCUUAAUGUAAUCUGGUUGAAGGUUUUAGCCGAUAUGGGGCAAGGCGCAAGGCGGCAAAGCAGGGCGUGGGUGAAAAUUUGAGCGCGGUAAUAUAGAAAUCAACUGAUCCAAUCACUAAUCAAAACAUAAUACGAGGAGUCGAUGACGAUUUUCAAGCAAAACGCAAAAAGGGUAACUCAAAAAAAUCAAUUUUCACACAACAGCAAAAAAGCGACCAUGAUUUUGAUUGACGAUUGAAUAACCAUCUGUCAAUAGUUGUGUUUGCUCUAGAAAUAAGAAUAAGAAUACCAAAAUAUGCAAAUGGAAACAACAAACCGCAAUCUAAAUGAAUAUGUGGAAACACAAAUGCACAAUAACGCUUGUUUUCUCGGUAGUUUUUGAAAAUUUUGGUAUACAACUGUCUCAUUUUAUAUGUUUUUUUUCCGCUUUAUGAUUCAGGCAAUUUCCAGUUUUAGUUUAAUGUUUGAUUGUUUUCUGAAUUAUUGAUUCUUGUGAUUUUUGAAAUGUAAUAGAUGGUGUUUUCGUAUUUUUUAUUCUGAAAUUCCUUAUUUUAUAUAUCGAGAAUGCCAAGAUUUCAGAUGGAUUUAUGUUCACUUCUUCAACCUUUUGCAUCUCUGUCUCAUGUCUGUCUCUAAGUAUGGUUGCUCACUGCUCAGCCUCUCAAAUAGAUUUAUGGGCUCACCCGUUACUAAUUGCUAGCUUGCUAUUGGUUUAAAGGUCAACUUGUUUUUGUUUAUUGCUUCAGUAAUGAUUAAUGAUUAAGCCAUUCUAAAUCAAUUAAAUUACUAUUAAAGUCGGUAUUUAAAUUCCCACUGAAAUCAAUUGAAAUUUGUUAGUUGACUUGGAAAAAUGAUUACAGUUUACUUCUAUGUUAUUGCUAGUUGAAAUAAUUUCAUCUCAUUUGUUCCAGUGUUUUUGUUUGAAGUUCAUGAGUCCUUGGAUUUGAUUGCGAGACUUCUUUGGGUUUUUUUGCUUAUUUAUUCCAUUCAGAGUUAGAUACCAAAGAUACCGGUCAAUGUAAAUAAUUAUUUUUCAAACUUGUAAUUUAUUUAAUCAAACCAUGUUAGCAAAGACACCAAUCAAUGCAAAUUGCCAAAGAAUAAUUUAAAAGUAAAUAAUUAGCAUCGUAUAAUAGAAACCAAUAUGUGUUAAUAACUUGUGUUUAUGUUAUAAUAGGAUUUAUAGGAUUAUGGAUAAUUUUUAUUAGGUUCCUUGCAAAUGUAAUUUUUUGUUUUCAAUUUUCGCAUUACUUAUAUUUUUAUUUAUUUAUUUAUUGCUAGAUCACUUUGCUUCUAAAGUUUCAACUAUUUCCACUAUCAAUUUGAAACAACGAAUCACAACUCGCGAAAAGUUUUUAUUCUUCUCUUUUGGUAUUGUUUAUUAAGAUGUAUUUGUUAAGUAACAAAGACCAAACAUGUUUCCUUGACACAACAAAGUGUUUGGAAUAUUAUUUAUGGAUGACAUUAAACAUGUCUAAUCCGUUGUUUUUGGUUAAGUUUGCUAGUUUUAGUGUGUAUGGAUACAAUCUUUUAAUAUAAAAAUGUGUUGUGUUUUUGUAUUAUAGCUUUAUAAUUUAAACAAAUUUGAUGUAAAUAUCGAGACAUUAUUAACUCUUUUUGCAUGGGGCAUGAAAAACCUUUGGACCGGCCCUAAAUGAGGAGUUUAGCAAUUUUGAUUUCAUCAGCAGUACCUAGUAGUUUUAGAUAUAAGUGGUGAUGAAUCUUGGAUGCAGUAUCAGAUAGAAUCCCAAUUAUGGCUCCUGAGACACUUUGAAUGUUGAUUAUCCUUCCAUCACCUUUCCCAAGAAUCUUGUUAAACUAAGAAUUGAAAGAAAGGAGAAUUAGAAUGAGUCGUAUAAGAUUGGUGUAUGUAUAAAAGGAAAAUGAAGGAUGAUUACUUACUUCUUUUUCACGAAACCUAAAUUGUAUCUUCUUCACUGCUUCUGGAGUAUCGACUGCGGAAUUUCUGCAUAGUUUCUUGGUGGACCUGAAUAACAGAGACAAUGAUUUAGUCGACAAAUUUUAUUGAUGCAUUAAUCAAACCACAUAGGAAACUCAAACACUGUCUAUAAUAAGCUUUCAUAAUAGUAAUGGCUCCAAUUGAGUAGGCAUCACCCCAACCCUAAUCACCUAAAUCGAACCGUAGCACAAACCAACUUCUCCCAUCAACGGCAAAAAACAAAAUCAUUUAACAUAUUAUUUAAAGCAAAGUUUAACAAAAUGAAUCUGCAAUUUUCGAAGUUGGAUUCAUGAUCCAACGAACAUGAAUCUCCUCUUGAGAAUAUAAGAUAUAUAAAAAGUCGGAUGAAAAGAAAUUUGGGAGAAAUCAAUCAUCUGUACAAAGAUAUAGAGAAAGAGAGCGGGCGCAAAACCUCAUUGGUUGACAAUGGCGGUGUUGAUGCUGACCGAAAAGAUGGUGAGGCGGUGGAAGCAAACAGUGAUGAGUGAAGAAAAACGACGUACGCAUGUCAGGGCAGAUAACCGAAUGUGUAAUGUGGGGAUCUGCUUUAUAUGUGGUUGAAAUGGAUUGCUGAACUCGCACAGCAUACCAAUGGUUGAUUCCGGUCCAGUGGAGGCAUCAAGAAGAAUGAAGAUCAAGAAGCCGUUGGAAGCCACCGAUCAGAGGUAGAGAAGCUAUGGCGUUGGGAACAAUCUAGAAAGAAAGAGAUAAAAGACUAACCAGAAGCAAAGGUAAAGUAAGUGAGCGGUGGUGGAAGGAUCGGGAAGUAGAGGCCCUAACCCUUGUCAGAUUGCUAGUACGUUUUGACAAAGAAUAUACAAUACAUCAAAAAAUGACCCCUUACAAAAAUCAAGUCGAAAUUGCACCUAUAUUGAUAAACAUGGGACCAUUUCUACAAACCUCUUAGAAACUUUAGUGUUCCUAAGAGGUAGGGAUGAAAGUGGGUCCAAACCCGGAAAACCUAGAACCUGUUAACGAGAUUUUAUAGAACCGGAAACCGGACUGGUAUAUAGGAACCGGUUCCGAGUAAAGUGGGUCUAGAACCGGAAAACCCGGAAAUAUCAAAGUGGGUAGGUUGGAACCGGAUAAAGUGGGUUUAUAACCGGAAAACCCGAAAAAAUCGGAAUUUUUUGGUAAUUACUUACUACCUAGUGGGUUGAAUUUUGAAAAUUUUCAAAUUAAUAUACUGACUUUGGGGGACUGUAACUCAUUGAAUAUGAAACCAAAAUUAACAAAAUUAUAGUCUAAAAUAUACUCUGAAAAAAACCGCAUGUCAAUCCGACUUUAAACGAAUGAGAUAUGCAUAUGUUAACAUUUUCACAUAAUAGAAAUUACAAAAACAAAUAGGUGAAAAGUUAAAAAUUUUCAGUUUUGAUAUCCCGACUUCGGAGAACUAUAAAUAAUUGAAUGUUAAACCAAAAAUGACAAAAUUAUAGUCUAAACUCAUGUACAAACUGUAACUAAAUGUUGGAAAAAACCACAUGUUAAUCCGACUUCAAACGAAUUAGAUAUGCAUGUUUUAAAACUUUCACCGAAUACAAAAAAACUGAAAAACAAAAAACUUCCAGCUUUGAUAUCUUGACUUUGGAGGACUGUAGGUCAAUGAAUAUAAAACUAAAAAUGACAAUUUUAUAGUCUAAAAUCAUGUACAAACUCUAAACUACAUGUUGGAAAAAACCACAUGUCAAUCGGAGUUGAAACGAAUAAGAUAUGCAAGCCCUAAAAGUGGUUUCGGUUCCAAACACGAGUUCCGGUUUUUAGACCCGAUUUACCCGGACCCGAUUGAUUCAAACCUGGAUUACCCGGAACCCGGAUAAAAUCAAUUUUUAAACCCGGAACCGGAACCUGUUCUAACGAUUCCGGUUCCGGUCCGAUUUUACGGUUCUAAAUCUCAUCCCUACUAAGAGGUGGAUAACUUUAAUAUAUAUAUAUANNNNNNNNNNNNNNNNNNNNNNNNNNNNNNNNNNNNNNNNNNNNNNNNNNNNNNNNNNNNNNNUAUAUAUAUCAAUUAAUAAAAUGGAAUCAGAGACCCAAGUAAUGAAUGAUGAUUCUGUGUUUAAAAAAAUAUCAUUGGUUUUUUUAGAAUAAUCCAAUUUCAUCGUAACAUACUAAUCUGUCAUUUUUAUAAUUAUUUUUGUUAAUAAAAAAUAAUAUAAUAUUGAGAUACUUAUAUAUAAGAAAAAGCUGUGUAUCUAACCCUGUGUUACACUUAGUAAUUUGUAACUGAGGUUUAUUAUAUGUAAAUAAUUGUAGUGUAGAAAAACAAAAAGGGGUAAUUUGAAACUUUUAUGUAAAUGAAAGGCAUGUAAACAAAAGUUCAAAAAAGAAGAAGUACGUAUGCAUAUGAUCUAGAAAAUGACGUGCUUUUAUUGCCUUUACAGUCCCAGAAGUUGCUGACAGAGAUCCAAAAAAGUUAUUACAUUAUUUGUAAAAUAAAAUAGUGCGAAGCUUCCUUUCCCACGGCAUUGACGACCUUGUCGUCUUCGUCCUCUGUGAACUCCUGGACGAUCUAUAAAUACCCUCUCAGUACUUUGAAUCUUCACACGUCCUCUUUAAACCCUCUUAUUUUCCAAUUUACUAGAUCCAAAACCGAUAAACUCGGCACAGUCAAAUCAUCAUCUACUUCACAGAAAUGGCAAAGGUACACAUUUGUUCAAUUCUGUUUUGUUUUUUCGAAUAAGUUAAACUCAAUUUGUGUAAUUGAUUGGUUUUGCAGCAAAAGAUUGUGGUGAAGGUCACAAUGAACAACGAAAAGAAAAUCCGUAAGGCUCUGAAAAUCGCAGUUAGUCUCUCUGGUAAGAUCAUGUUUCGAGAUUUUCCUCUUCCCAAUUUUCACUUAAUUCUGGUUUUCCAGAAAAAUCGCUUAAUUUCAAUUUCAUAACGUAAAUGUUAACCUCAAUUUGAAUUGUUGGUUUUAUACCUGAUUAUUGUUAACCUCAAUUGGAAUUGAUUGAAUUACUCGACUAAAUCAUGAUCUGAAAAUUGAUGAACAGGUGUUGAAUCAGCAUCUUUCGUUGGAUUAGAUAAAACCCAAAUCGCUGUGACUGGGAACAUGUCGACUCAGUUAAACUGGCGAACUUGCUAAGGAAAGGUGUUGGAUACACAGAGCUAGUGAGUGUUGUGUUAACCUUGGGCCUAUUAGACACACACACACACUUGCACACAGCAGAUUAGGCAAAGCAAAAUACAGAGGAAGUUUUGGUUACACACAACUGAUGUGUAUUAUUCUCUGAAGACUUGAAUACAAAAGGAAAUUAUCACACGCCUUAUAGACACUACAAGGAACGUGGAUCAACAAGCUAGUACACUGAAAAUAACUUCUAAACAGUUUUGACUAAGGAAAUAACUAAACAGAGAAUAAAGAAAAACAUAAAAUAAUAAAAGUGGACCAGGUCUUCUAAUGCUUUGAGGUGUUGUACGUUCAAUACUCCCCCUCAACACCUGCUUCCACCAUUCCAAUCUCAUCACAUAGUUCAAUCAAUCUAGCUCCAGGAAGACCGUUGGUGAGACAAUCUGCAAGCUGUUAUGUGGUUCUAACAUACCUCAAAUCCAGUUCUUCUUGAAGCACCUUUUUUUCGAAUAAAAUGAUAGUGGAUUUCAAUAUGUUUGGUCCUUGCAUGAAAUGUGGGAUUUUCAACAAGCUUAAUUGAUGAGAGAUUGUCACAAUAUAGUGGUAUGCUGUAAUCAACUUCUUGAUUAAGAUUCUCCAACAAUUGCACCAACCAAACACACUCCUGAGCUGCCAUGGCUGCAGCACAGUAUUCCGCUUCAGUUGUUGAAAGUGACACGGUUGGUUGUCUUUUACUAACCUAAGAUAUAGGAUUGGAUCCCAACAUGAAAACGUAUCCGGUAGUGGACCUUCGAGUAUCAACAUCUCCUGCAUAAUCAGCAUCACAAUAACCUUGUAAUCUGCAGCUUGUAUCUUUCUUGAACAUGACACCAUAACUCAUUGUAUAUUUGAUAUAUCUCAGCACCCUUCGAGCAGCCUCCAGAUGAGGCUUUCUUGGUUUCUGCAUAAAACGGCUAAGAACACCCACAGUAAGAGCUAAAUCUGGCCUGGUUAAGGUUAAGUAGAUUAAACUACCAACUAUCUUCCUGUACAUUGUUGGAUCUUCCAGCUCUCUUCCAACAUCCAAGCUCAACUUGACAUUUGUAUCUAUUGGAGUCACAGUGGGUUUACAGUUCAACAUUCCAAAUUUCUUGAGUAAAUCAAAGGAGUACUUCUUUUGAUGUAGAACAAUGCCAGUGCUUUCAUAACUCAACUCCAGACCAAGAAAGUGACUUAGUUUGCCCAGACCCUUCAUAUGAAAACGGAUACAAAGAUUCUCUUUCAGUUGUGAAAUCAUCUCAGUGUGAUCACCUGUGAUGAUAAGAUCAUCCACAUACACUAGCACAACUGCCAUCUUGCUGUUCUUCCUUUUCACAAACAAACUUGCAUCAGCUGAGGUUAUAACAAAGCCAUUGUACUCAAGAAAUUCAGCUAUUUUUCCAAACCAUGCUCUAGGCGACUGUUUUAAACCAUAAAGUGCUUUCUUGAGCUUACAUACAUGAUUAGGAUUUGUACCACUUACAAAACCUAAUGGUUGAUCCAUGUAUAUAACUCGAUCUAACUCCCCAUAAAGAAAUGCGUUGCUGACAUCCAUUUGCCACAAGUUCCACUUCUUGCUUGAUGUCAAAGCCAAUAUAACUCGCAUAGUGGUUAGCUUAGCCACUGGACUGAAGGUAUCUUCAUAAUCCAACCCAUAUUCCUGUGAGAAACCUCGUGCUACCAACCUUGCUUUCAGUCGCUCUACUGAUCCAUCAGCCUUUCGUUUCACUUUGUACACCCACUUACAUGAAAUGGGUUUCACAUCACUAGGUUUUGGGGUUAACUCCCAUGUUUGGUUUCUCAUGAGUGCAUCGUAUUCUUGAUUCAUAGCUAAGAUCCAUCCUUCCAUAACACUUGCUUGUUCAAAAUUUUCAGGCUCAACUGUUUCAUCUUCAACGAUUGCUGCAUUUGCAUACUUAGGAUUAGGUCUAUUUAAACGAGUAGACCUAUGCAAGCUUGAGGGUUCUGUUGCUUGUUCAUCUGCAUUUGUGGACUGAAAAACUCCACUUUGCCAUGGUUGUUGCCUAGUUGUUGGUGGUUCAUCAUCUACUACCACAGUCUGAACAUCACCUAAUAUUAAAUUAAUAUUAGAUGAUUCAAGUUCUCCCUUGAGUACAUUAGUAUCUGGUAGAGUCUCAUGGUUGACUGACCACCAUGAUGACCUUUCAUCAAAAACAACAUUUCGUGACACAUAGCACCUUCCAAUUUCUGGCUCACAGCAACGCCACCCCUUUCUUUCUUUGUCAUAGCCUAUGAAAAUACAGCGAACAUCUUUCUUCUCCAUUUUACUGCGUAGGUGGUUAGGAACAAACACAUAAAACACACAACCAAACACAUGGAAGUAACUUACAUUAGGCUUCUUGUUCCAUAAUCUUUCAUAUGGUGACACAUACUUUAGACCCUGCUGAGGAAUUCUGUUAAUUACAUAUGCAGCAGUUUGCAUUGCCUCAGCCCAAAAACGACCUGGUAUGUUUUUAUCAUGCAUCAUGCUUCUAGAAACUUCACCCAGGUGCCUAUUUUUUCUUUCGGACACCCCAUUUUGUUGGGGUGUAUUUGCACAAGUCAGUUGACGUUUGAUUUUGUGCUUCUUCAAAUAAUCAGCAAAAUCAGAUGUGAGAUAUUUGUCACCAUUAUCAGAUCGUAAGCACAUAAUGCUAUGUUUCAAGUCUCUUUCUGCUUCACCCUUGAAAUCUUUGAAUUUAUGGAACACCUCUGACUUUUCUUUCAUAAAAUACACCCAAACAUAUCUAGAGUAAUCAUCAAUAAAUGUUACCAUGUACUUCAAACCUUUUUUGGAUGGCUGCUUUACUGGUCCAAAAACAUCUGAAUGUGUGAGUUCCAAAGGCUGUUUUGCUUGAAAGUUAGACUUCUCAAACGGUUGCUAAUGAGCUUUACCAUAUUGGCACCCGACACAAACAAUUUCUUUGCUUACUUCUAACUGUGGCAGUCCAGCAACUAACUUCUUCUUCAUCAUCAAAUCUAGUUUGUCAUAACUUACAUGACUUAGUCGCAUAUGCCACAAUAAUGAAGUUUGGUUCUUCUUGGUCUUUUCUACAUAGGCAGUUUCAGCUGACAUAACAUAAAUGGAUUCGGAUCGAUGUCCAUUCAACACAGGUAUAGACUUAGUUUCAAAUUUGUCAUAUACCUUAACAUCAUUGGGUCCAAAGACAACAUAAUGACCUGCAGAGGCGAGCUGUGUAACAAAAAGUAGAUUCUUUUUCAUUCCUGGUACAUGAUACACUCCUGGUAACAUUAACUCCUUCUUGAUGUCUUCAGGUGAGAAGACUACAUCCCCAAUAUGAGCUAUAGGAAGCUUAGAAUUAUCAGCAAUGACCACCACUCUACUCCCUUCAUAUUUGACUGGAUCUUGUAAUCUUUUCUUUUCUCCUGUCAUGUGAUUAGAACAUCCCGAGUCAACGAUCUAUUCAUCCAUUUUAUUUCGUUCACCUUCAGUAGUUGUUGUGUAUGCUUUGGCUUCAUCUACCUGGGCUAUUAGAGCUUCUGCAUCCUAGGCAUCUUCUUCUUGAGUAGCCGCUGCAUUUCCUUCUUCAUUAGACCUUGCGGGACAGUUUCUGGCUAUAUGACCCUUCUCUCCACAAUUAUAGCACUUGAAAGAAGACCGUUUGUGGUGAUAACGCCCCUUAUGCUUAUCUCUUUUAUCAUGAUCACGAUUCUUGCUUCUAGAGUCAGACCCUUUAUUCUUAUCUUCAUUACGUUUGACAUUUUGACUUGAACCUCCCUUAUAAUUGUUUCGACUUCUAUCAGCAUACAGUGCUUCUUCUGUGGUCUUCUCAACACCUCCCCCUAAUUGGUUGGCUAGGGUUUCUUGAGCAGUCAACAAGUUUUCAAACUCUACUAAGGACGGUUGAGUCGGCCACCCUUGGAUCGCUGCCACAAAACUCCUGAAUUCAGGUUUUAAGCCAUGAAUGAUGAUUCUUUUCAUCCGAGAUUCACCAAUCGGAGCUUCAGGAUCUAAUUCUCCAAUUUCCCUGCAUGUAGUUUUCACCUUAUGAAAAUAUUGAGAAAUUGAUAAAUCCUUUUGUGAUACAGACAAAAGAUCAUUCUUAAGCAUUUGGAGUUUUGUGUCGUUUUUCUUAGAAAACAAACUAAGCAAAGUUUCCCAGGCUUCAUUCGGUGUUGCAGCGUCCUUUAUGUGCUCUAGAACUUCUUCUUCUACUGUUGUCUUCAACACAAAUAGAGCUUUGCCUGCCUUGAUCUUCCACUUACGUAGAACACCAUUGUUGUCUUCAGCCUCAAGUUGUUUCAUCUCUAAUCCCUUCACAACUUCCCACAGAUCUUGACCUUGCAUGUAGGACAUUAUGCAAGUAGACCAUGUGUUGUAAUUGUGAUGAUUAAGUUUCUUCACACCACCGGCCACCUGUAAUUCCGCCAUGAACCUGGAAGCUCUGAUACCAGAUUGUUAACCUUGGGCCUAUUAGACACACACACACACACUUGCACACAGCAGAUUAGGCAAAGCAAAAUACAGAGGAAGUUUUGGUUACACACAACUGAUGUGUAUUAUUCUCUGAAGACUUGAAUACAAAAGGAAAUUAUCACACGCCUUAUAGACACUACAAGGAACGUGGAUCAACAAGCUAGGAAACUGAAAAUAACUUCUAAACAGUUUUGACUAAGGAAAUAAUUAAACAGAGAAUAAAGAAAAACAUAAUAUAAUAAAAGUGGACCAAGUCUUCUAAUGCUUUGAGGUGUUGUACGUUCAAUAUGUUGGUCCGGUGGAGGAGAAGAAAUCAGCCGCCGCAAAGGAAACAAAUCCCACGGUGGCGCCACUAGAUUUUACAGUUAAUCCAUACCAAUAUUACUACGGCAGCUAUGGGAUGCCCUACUAUGCAUAUUAGAUUUGGAUGUUAUUUAGUCAAAAAGAGUGAAAUAAAUUAGUUUUAUAUUGAUGCAUAACUAGUUUCAUUUAACUUUUUUUUUUUUUGGGAGUUUUGCAUUGCAUGAAAUAAGAGACCCUUGAUGUACAUAUUAUCUUUGUGAUAUAUGGGAAAAUUUUGCGAUACUUUAUAUACAUUAGUUUAUUAAGCAUCUAAUUUAUAAAAAAUAAAUAAAGAUAGUCUUGUAAAUUAUUUCCAUACGUCGUCAUGAAUACUAAUUUGUUCCAUA